AGCUAAAGACUUGUCACUUUGGUUUUUCAAGAAAACCAACUCUUGUCCUCCUAGUCCUUCAUUCGACUCUAAUCUUUAUUUCAUUCCUCCUUAUAACUUUGGGCUCAGUUCUUGAUAAGUUCCUUGAGAAGUAAAGCUCGGUUGUAUAAUUCAGAUUAUCUUUUCUGAAUGUAAACAUUUAUCGCAGUAAACUUCCCUCUUUUGCUGCAUCUCCUAAGUUUGGUAUGAUGUUCGUACUUCCCAUUUUCAUUUGUCUCAAGAUACUUUAUGAUUUCCCUUUUUAUUUCUCUUCGACCCACUGAUUGUUCAGGAGUAUGUUGUUUAAUUUCCAUGUACUUGUGACUUUUCCAGCUCUCUUCCCGCAGCUGAUCUCUAGGUUGAACUGUUGUGGUCAGAAAAGAUGCAUGAUGUGAUUUCGGUCUUCAGUUUGUUCGGACUUGCUUUGUGGUGCAACAUACGAUCCAUCCUGGAGAACGGUCCAUGUGCAGUGGAGGAGAAUGUGUAUUCGGUGCUGCCGAAGGGAAUGUGUUGCACGUCUGCUAGGUCCAUUUGGUCCUGUAGGGCUCAGCCAGAUCCUUAACCCACUGAGCAAAAGCAGGGAUUGAACCUGCAUCCUCACUGGAUACUAGUCAGGUUCUUAACCCACUGAGGCACAGUAGGAACUCCAUAAUAGGUAAGAAUUUCAUCUUGCCAAUUUGUUGUUUUCUCAUUUGUUGUUUCUUUGUUAUUGUCUUCCUGUGUGAUUAAUUUUGUAGUGAUUUAAUUCCCUUUCUUUUAUGUAUCUACUACAGAUUUUGUUGGGCAGUUACCAUAAGGUUGACAUAAAGCAUCUUAGAGUUAUUACAGGGUACUUGAAGCCAGUAACAACCUGAUACCUUCAUCACCUACAAAACUAACUUUACUUCUCCUCCCCAUUUUAUGCUACUGAUUUCACACUUCACUUCUUUUUAAUAUUAUGUAUUCAUUAACGAAUUACUGUAGUGAAGAUUAUUUUAAUACUAUUGUCUUUAAACUUUGAUAUUAGAAAUAAAAGCGGUUUACACCCACAUACAGUAUUUGAAUUUGACGAAGUAUUUACCCUGACCGGUGAAUUCUAUGCUUUGACGUAUUUUCAGGUUGUUACCUAGCAUCCUUCCCUUUCAACCGGAAGAAUCCCCUUUAGCAUCCCUGGGGAGGCAGAUCCAGCAGGGAUGAACUCCCCCAUCUUUAGUUUCUCUGAGAAUGUCUUUACCUUGCCUUCCUUUCUUUUUUUCAUUCCUUUUUCUUUUCUUUUUCGGGGCUGCACCUGCGGCAUAUGGAAGUUCCCAGGCUAGGGGUUGAAUCGGAAUUGCACCUAUCGGCCUGUGCCACAACGCCAGAUGUAAGCCACAGCUUGCAUCAAUGAUGGAUCCUUUUUUUUUUUUUUUAGGUUUUUAUUUUUUCUAUUAUAUUUGAUUUACAUUAUUCUGUCAAUUUCUGGUAUAUACAGCAAAGAGACCCAGUCACACAUAAUCUGUAUACAUUCUUCUUCUCACAUUAUCCUCCAUCAUGUUCCAUCGCACGUGACGAGAUAGAGCCGCUCUACCGCAGGGCCUCAUUGCGUAUCCACUCCAGAUGUAAUCGUUUCCAUCUACUAACCCCAGACUUCCAGUCCAUCCCACCUUAGUCCACUGAGCAAUGCCAGGGGUUGAACCUGAAUCCUCAUGGAUACUAGUCAGGUUCAUUACUGCUGAGCCACAAGGAAACUCCAGUUUCUUAUCUUUUAAAAAAUGUCUGUAUCAUUUAUUUUGCUUAUCUGAUUGUAUUAGCUAGCAACUCCAAAAUUUUUUUUUAAGUAGUGGUGAAAAUAUGCCUGCUUUGUUCCUAACUUAAUAAAGCAAUUUUUAAAAUGUUUUCCUGUACUCUCUCAUUAGGGUUUAUUACUGAUGGGAACCCCUUUCUUCUGGGCGAUGUUCUGCUUCGUCAGAUUCGCAUUCCUGGUGCCCCACUCCUUCUAACUACAGUGUCUCUCCAAGAACAAGUGAAGCGUCUCACCAAGAUCAGGAUGAUGCAGAGAACCAUGGGGUUACCUCGGGGCCCCCUGAUGCAAACAACACAAAAACAGGCUGCAUUUGGCAUGAUCAGAAUCCAGAGAUCGUGGGUGGCCAUCCCAUCAAGGGGAAUUUGCCACUUACUCAGGAGGAGGAUACGCUGUGAGACUUGGAAGAAACUCCAGUCCUGCAGUCAGUCUUACAUUCGUGUUAACACGAGUGAAAGGUGGGACGUUAGAAAUCCUACUUUGCAGGCGGACGAGAUGGGGAAACGCAGCUUCUCACGUGCUGUGUGAGCGGCGGUGGGAGGCUGAGGCCUUUUCCUCCCCUUCCCCGAGUUCCGCAGCCGCGUGAGCAGAGCCGCUGGCUAGACCGCUGCACCGAAAGCCUCUUUGCGGAAUUUGCGGUCCUCACUUUCCAGCGUGAACCUGUUCUGUGGAGAGACCCUGACUUUGGAGUCCAGCAAGGUGGGUACGAAGGCCUCCUUUCUCUGCCCUCUGUGACCUGCGUGGCUCAGGAGAAGACCCUAUUUCUUUCUCUAUCUUACGCCAUUAAAUGACAUUAUUUAAAUUAAAGUCAUUACACAUAAUUUUAAAAGCGAAAUAGUUCAAGGCAGGAACUACUAGCAGUCCUCCCUUCGUGUCCGCUUCAUUACUGCUCUCCAGAGGCAGGUGUGUUUAACUGAUUCUGUGGAGUUUAAAAAUGAACAUGUUUCAGGUUGUGGGGGAAGUAAAUUAGGGUUGUUUUUAUUUUUAAAAUUUUUUUCUUGCUUUUUAGGGCCGCCCCUACAGCAUAUGGACGUUCCCAAGCCUAGGGGUCAAAUCGCAACUACAGCUGCCGGCCUACGCCAGAUCCGAGCCGCAUCUGCAACCUACACCACAGCUCACGGCAACCCCGGAUCUUUAACCCACCGAACGAGGCCAGGGUUCCAACCUGUGUACUCAUGGAUGCUAGUCAGAUUCGUUUCUGAUGAGCCACAAGGGGAACUCUGAGAUAAAUUACCUUUGAAGUAACAUAAACACACUAUUAUAUAUGAAAUAGAUAAACAAUAAGGACCUAAUUUAUAGCACAAAGAACUGUACUCAAUAUUUUUAACAACUUACAAUGGAAAAGAAUCUGAAAAAGAACAUAUAUGUGUAACUGAGUCAUUUUGCUGUACACUUGAAACUGACACUGUAAACGAACUAGAGGGAAAAAAACAUAAAAGGAGUUCCCUCAUGGCUCAGUGGGCUAAGGCUCUGGCAUCGGCACUGCUGUGGCUCUGGUUGGAGCUGCGGUAUGAUUUCAAUCCCUGGCACAGGAACGUCUGCAGCUACAGGCAUAGCCAAAAAAAAAAAA
rnacentral:lncRNA from 1 species